GUUUAAGACCCUGUUGGAAGUUCGCUGGCCUGUCGUUGGCAAAGUACCAUAUCAGCUGCGUUUUCCAAAGAAUUAACAUUAUAUUGUUCUCUCAUUUGCGCCGGGAGAUCGAUCUUUCGCCGAGGAUUGAAAAGUUGAUUUGUAUUGUAGAUAAUUUGAAAAGCGCACACCGACCGGAUAUCACACCUCGAUGAAAACAAAUGAAUGCAAGGUCGAACUAGAAGCGUUGCUAUCAGCUCAUGGAAUGGGGUACAAUUAACCGUUUGCAGCCUGUUGGUCGGCUCAUCUCAUCGACCUAGCACGCAUAUCAAGGAUCGGCCAACUACUCUUCGUCAACUUGUCAACUAGUCAAACGAAGAAAUGCUGCAGAAUAUAACUGGUUACAAAUGCUUACAAUCAGAUGCCACCUUCACCAACAUCAAUCCGCUUUGCAUUCUACGUAAUGUUAAAUAUCAUGAUUUAUCAGGCGGCAAAGUGGAGUCUCGAUGUCGACAACGCAAAUCCUUGAUAACAUAGACAUAUACGAGGACGCCCAUUUUUAAUAUGAUGGGGAGUAGUUAACAUCAGUAAAAGCUGCGUGUGACGACGAACGACACACGAAGCUAUACUACGGAUGCUGGUCGGCGGCCGUGAUCUGUGCGAGAUAAGGUAAUCUUAAGCUCUCUCUCUUUGUAUUACUUAGUUCUGAACUGACAGUCGAAAUAAAGAGACGUUAUUGUAAAAUAACUGCCGUAAAUAUAAA